rnacentral:rRNA from 1 species
GUCUAAGGCCAUACCACCCUGAACACACCCGAUCUCGUCUGAUUUUGUCAGCUAAGCAGAGUUGGGCCUGGUUAGUACUUGGAUGAAAGACAGAUCCUCAGAAGAGACUGCUCAGAGACAAGCAGUUUGGAGA